rnacentral:rRNA from 1 species
UGGGGAAUUUUGGACAAUGGGCGAAAGCCUGAUCCAGCAAUGCCGCGUGUGUGAAGAAGGCCUUCGGGUUGUAAAGCACUUUUGUCCGGAAAGAAAUCCUUGGCUCUAAUACAGUCGGGGGAUGACGGUACCGGAAGAAUAAGCACCGGCUAACUACGUGCCAGCAGCCGCGGUAAUACGUAGGGUGCAAGCGUUAAUCGGAAUUACUGGGCGUAAAGCGUGCGCAGGCGGUUUGCUAAGACCGAUGUGAAAUCCCCGGGCUCAACCUGGGAACUGCAUUGGUGACUGGCAGGCUAGAGUAUGGCAGAGGGGGGUAGAAUUCCACGUGUAGCAGUGAAAUGCGUAGAGAUGUGGAGGAAUACCGAUGGCGAAGGCAGCCCCCUGGGCCAAUACUGACGCUCAUGCACGAAAAGCGUGGGGGAGCAAAACAGGAUUAGAUACCCUGGUAGUCCACGCCCUAAAACGAUGUCAACUAGUUGUUGGGGAUUCAUUUCCUUAGUAACGUAGCUAACGCGUGAAGUUGACCGCCUGGGGGAGUACGGUCGCAAGAUUAAAACUUAAAGGAAUUGACGGGGUCAUAGCUGUUUCC